GGCAAGAUGGCCGAGUGGUUAAGGCGGUAAGGAUACCGUAAUGGGAAACCGCGUGGGUUCGAAUCCCACUCUUGUCA